GACUCGAUGAUAUUCUAGCCUGUAAAGGCAAUAUACGCUAUUCUGAAUCACAUAUGUUGUCAUUCAUUCAUGAAUUUUUAAUGAGAGUC
rfam:Beta vulgaris subsp. vulgaris Bvchr2.sca015.con0066.1, whole genome shotgun sequence.